UGAAAUGCGAAAAGUAAUGCGAUUUGCAUAACUCUGUGAGUCAUCGAGUCUUUGAACGCACAUGGCACCUCGCUGGAGGUGAGCCUGUUUGAGGAUUGGAAAUACGAUGGUUCCCGGGAGGGGACUGGGAUGGGGCGUCAUUCUCGGAAGGGGAUGUGCCCUGGAAUGGAGGUUGGGUGUGGGUUGAGCACCGAGGGAUAGCAGGGGAUACCUGACGAACUCGUGGAACGACAAACCCCCAACCAAAACAAACAACGCAACGCAAUCUCAAAUCAGGCUAGAGCACCCGCUGAACUUAA
rnacentral:misc_RNA from 1 species